rnacentral:rRNA from 1 species
CGUGUAGGCGGAUGGGGACGUCGGUUGCUGAAAAUCCCCCGGCUCAACCGGGGAACGGGCACCGAAACGCCCCGUCUGGAGGGACGUAGGGGGACCUGGAACUUCCGGUGGAGCGGUGAAAUGCGUUGAGAUCGGAAGGAACGCCCGUGGCGAAAGCGAGGUCCUGGACGUUUUCUGACGCUGAGACGCGAAAGCUAGGGGAGCGAACG